rnacentral:rRNA from 1 species
GACGAACGCUGGCGGCGUGCUUAACACAUGCCGGUCGAACGGAAAGGCCCUGCUUUUGUGGGGUGCUCGAGUGGCGAACGGGUGAGUAACACGUGAGUAACCUGCCCUUGACUUUGGGAUAACUUCAGGAAACUGGGGCUAAUACCGGAUAGGAGCUCCUGCUGCAUGGUGGGGGUUGGAAAGUUUCGGCGGUUGGGGAUGGGCUCGCGGCUUAUCAGCUUGUUGGUGGGGUAGUGGCUUACCAAGGCUUUGACGGGUAGCCGGCCUGAGAGGGUGACCGGCCACAUUGGGACUGAGAUACGGCCCAGACUCCUACGGGAGGCAGCAGUGGGGAAUAUUGCACAAUGGGCGGAAGCCUGAUGCAGCAACGCCGCGUGCGGGAUGACGGCCUUCGGGUUGUAAACCGCUUUCGCCUGUGACGAAGCGUGAGUGACGGUAAUGGGUAAAGAAGCACCGGCUAACUACGUG